rnacentral:rRNA from 1 species
CACGUAGGAGGCGAGCGUUGUCCGGAAUCAUUGGGCGUAAAGAGCGCGCAGGCGGCCCGGCAAGUCGGGUGUGAAAUCCCGGGGCUCAACCCCGGGACUGCAUUCGAUACUGUCGGGCUAGAGGUAGGUAGGGGAGAUCGGAAUUCCUGGUGUAGCGGUGAAAUUCGUAGAUAUCGAGAAGAACACCGGUGGCGAAGGCGGGUCUCUGGGCCGAUACUGACGCUGAGGAGCGAAAGCGUGGGGAGCGAACAGG